CGGCAGCUCAGGUCAAAGGAUCGCAGAGUGUGAGACUGAGGCUACUGAUUGCAUCUCUUCAGCCACAUCCUCUGGGCUGGCUGUUAGGGACCAGAAAGGAAGCAGCCCUGGGCCCUAUCCAGAUGCCUCAGGGGUUGGGGUGAAGACUCGUCCACCAAAAGUGGAAGAAGCCACAGCUGACUGCUUCAGGAGGCAUGCCCCCAUAACCUCAGGCAGACGCUUCACUUCUCUGGCCUGUUUCUGCCUCAAACUGUGUCCGGAAUUGGUGGGUUCUUGGUCUCACUGACUUCAAGAAUGAAGCCGUGGACCCUCGCGGUGAGUGUUACAGUUCUUAAAGGCGGCGUGUCCGGAGUUUGUUCCUUCUGAUGUUCGGAUGUGUUCGGAGUUUCUUCCUUCUGGUGGGGUUCGUGGUCUUCCCGGCUCAGGAGUGAAGCUGCGAACCUUCGUGGUGAGUGUUACAGCUCUUAAGGCGGCGCGUCUGGAGUUGUUCGCUCCUCCUGGUGGGUUGGUGGUCUCGCUGGCUUUAGGAGUGAAGCUGCAGACCUUCCCCGUGAGUGUUACAGCUCAUAAAGGCAGUGUGGACCCAAAGAGUGAGCAGCAGCAAGAUUUAUUGCAAAGAGCAAAAGAACAAAUUUUCCACAGUAUGUAAGGAGACCCCAGAGGAUUGCCACUGC
rnacentral:lncRNA from 1 species